UUAUCGUUAUUAUUUUCUCCAAUUAAUUUUAUAAAUAUUUAAAAAUAUCAAAAUGUAAAAAAGUUUUAUGUGAAUUCAUAAGCGCAGAUGAUAGGUAAAAACCAAAGCCAUGAUUUAUUGCCCAUUGCAUGGACAUGGUAAUUUUGGAAAACUGCUUAAGGGCCAUUUAAUUAUGUGAUCACAAAUAAUUAAUAAAUAUUCAAAACUACAAUGAAAAGAGAAGCGUCAAAAGCGUCACUAAAUAUGAAUUUUGAAUAAAAUAUUCAAAUCGCAUAAACGAACAUCACUUUACCGGAAAUAAUCUCUGCAGCACAUCAACAAUGGGUAAAUUUUGCAAAACUAACAAAGACAUGAGAACAAAUUACAAGAACUUAAUGAAAUUUUCAAUGGAUGAAUAUUUCUACAUUGAUUAUAACGUAUGUUUUUGUUGUAGCAGUGUGUUGUAUACCGAGGCGGUAGCCCUUGCGGAUAAAGAAUUCCAUCGAGACAAUCCGGUACACGGAAAAACAAUCUUAGAAAUAACCCACUACAAAAUUUGUAUGUGAAACUUUAAAUUCUCAACAUUAUUUGUGGAAGUUCGUAAGUAAAUCUCUACAAGACUCUUGCAGACAAAAUUUUUGAAA
rnacentral:sRNA from 1 species